GGGUGGAGGUCACACCGGCAAGAAGCGCAACGGCGGACGCAUUCCUAAAGGCGUUCAGAGAAAAAAUACUGGCGAGGGGAGGUGCACCAAAGCGAGUGAUCUCAGACAACGGCGUACAAUUUACAAGCAGAAAGACGAAACAGACAAAUGGAAAAUAAAGAAGAGAAAUUCAACAUGUCGGCCCGAAAAUUCAAAGAGAGGAUGUCACGGGCCAGCCACAAGAACCGAGCCACAAAACUUCUACCGGACGCCCUCCCGCCCAGCUCAAGAAUGAAAGUAUCGGGGACAAAGGUGUCAGCGCCCAGGAAAG